UAACACGUAGGUAACCUGCCCUAUCGUGGGGGAUACCCAGCCGAAAGGUUGGCUAAUACCGCAUAAUCUCGUGAGUUGAAAUACUGAUGAGGAAAGAUUUAUCGCGAUUGGAGGGGCCUGGGUCCGAUUAGCUAGUUGGUGAGGUAAAGGCUCACCAAGGCGACGAUCGGUAGCUGGUCUGAGAGGACGAUCAGCCACACUGGAACUGAGACACGGUCCAG
rnacentral:rRNA from 1 species